CCCUGCAGUUCUCGCCUAGUUUCCCCACUGAAGUUAAGCAGGGUUCAGUCUGGCCAGUACCUAGAUGCGAGACCUCCUGGGGAAAACUAAGGUUGCUGCUGGAA
rnacentral:rRNA from 1 species